GGCCCGGUAGCUCAGUUGCAUAGAGCAGCGCACUCCUAACGCGAAGGUCGGCAGUUGGACUCUGCCCCGGGCCA
rnacentral:tRNA from 1 species